AGCUCCAAUAGCGUAUAUUAAAGUUGCUGCAGUUAAAAAGCUCGUAGUUGGAUUUCUGGGCAUCAGUUUCUGGCCGGCCACGGUUUCGUGUGUUAGUGCUUGAAGCUUUGUCCAUCCUUCCAUUGCUGUUGCUAUUCUUCAUUGAUUGGUAACUAGUAUUGGAUCUUUUACUUUGAAAAAAUUAGAGUGUUUCAAGCAGGCUUAUGCUAUGAAUACAUUAGCAUGGAAUAAUAAUUUAGGACUUCGGUUCUAUUUUGUUGGUUUCUAGGACUGAAGUAAUGAUUGAUAGGGAUAGUUGGGGGUGCUAGUAUUCAGCGGCCAGAGGUGAAAUUCUCGGAUUCGCUGAAGACUAACUUAUGCGAAAGCAUUCACCAAGGAUGUCUUCU
rnacentral:rRNA from 1 species